CUUCGGCCGCCCGCUGCAGGGGGACACCGGAGCUUGCUCCGCUCCGCUCCGCCCUCCCCUCGGCCAGGCGGCCUCUCCCCUGCACCCCCCACCCUCCCCGCCUCGCACCUUCUCCUGGGCGCGGUUGAGGCGUUUCUGGACGUUUUUGGCGAAGAUGCCGGUCUUCAUGUCGGCCAUGGCUGGCGGCGGGGGAAGCGGGGUGGGGGGAAGGCGGGCGAGGCAGAGCCCGGCGGCGGCGAGCGGCGAUGGGUGCAAAACACAAGCCAGAAGGUCAUUCUCUGUGCCCACCAAAAGACAACGCCUCCUAUAGCCAGGAAGUCAAAACAUGUUUCAUAAAACCUUGUACUUCUGACGCCUGUCCAGUCAUAGACCUGCAUCACACAUUUUCCUGCAAUAUUAGGGAGCAGAAUUGACAUACCAACUGCAGCAGUAACAAUGUUUCGUAUGAAGCUGUGACCCAAGAUUAACACUUCUCUGAGUCAUUAGCAUGCUAACAUGCACUGAACCUGAACUUGCAUUCUGGCACAGAACAGCAGUUUCAUCACUCAAAAGCAUUUAUCUGAGAGUUGCAAGUGCCCUUUGAUUUCAGCUUGAUUAUUUUUAUCCGUCUCACUUCACAGAACUACACACAGCUGGGAUGCCUCCUCAGGCUCUCAAACCCCUGCACAUGAGCUGGAGAGCAACACUAAUGAGGGGCCUGCAGAGUUCACUCUCAAAUUGAGCACUAGUGAUGUUUCUGUAAGAUUCCUGCAUAGCACCCACGGUACACAGAUGAUCGUGCUAUACUUCAGCAGUUGAUCCCAAUGUUCUCCAAAAUAACAAAAAUUGUUGACAUAUAACCGAAUGUGUCGGAGGGAUAAUGUCUGUGAAAGCCAGAUUAACUAUGUUAUCCCAUGUAAGGUAAGACUACUCCUACUUUUUUGUUCAUGAAUGCUAUGAAAAAUCUGACAGAGCAAAUUUGCAUGCAAUUCAGGCUGAGUAUUGUUACUCUGUUCUUCCAGACUGAGAUCACAGCCCCAGAGCACAGCUCACCUGCAUUGGCCUUGCUGUUCAGACCACUCCUGACCCAUCCCCACUCGCUGGGCUUUGAUUUACACCCAGAGCAGCCACUAUGCUGGAAACAUCCCACCAGAAUUGAUGGCAGCGGUAGGUGCCUAACCAGCAGGACCAAACUGGCUCUGUCCAAAGCAGGACAGAUAGAGCAUCUAGAAUGCAGCACUGGAACCUCAGCUCUGCUCGCUUUGCUCCACAGACAGCUCCCCUUGCACUGCUUGCUGGUGUCAGCGCAGCCAAAGAUCACUUUCGUCUGUUUUCUCAUACCAAUAAACUAUUUGGCAAUAUAUAUUCUAAUAUACAGUCUAGCAAGAAUGUACCAAUCCAGCAGGAGAGACAGAUUUUGCUUUCAUCACUGGAAAGUUUUGUGUUGUUUGUUUGUUUGGGAUUGUUCUGCCUAUUUUUUGAUCUCAGUUUUUAGAAUUUCUACCUUUUUUUUUAAUCUCUUCUUACAGUGUAAUCACAUGAUAGAAAGAUUCACAACAAAUAAAAAGAAGAUGCAAAGAGCUAUGUUUACUUCUUUGCAAAAGCCUUGUGAAAAGAACAUGAGGAUCAGAAGAGGAAAUUCUGUGAGGACCAAAUGAACCUUUGCAUGAGGCCAUUAUAAUCCUGGCAUCAUUGUUUUCUGCAGCUUGUAUUAAAGGUGGCAGACGAUUUUUGUGGGAAGUAGCAGUGGAGAGGAGUGCUAGGAUAAAAAUGGUUACAUUUGGAGGCAAAAAACACUGUAGCUAUCCCCUGUCCCCAUCAAUUCCAGCAUGCGCAGCUCAACCUUUGGAACAACUAUUUCUGUAUAGGGCAAGAUCCACUAGGACAUGGUCUCAAUCUGCUUUCAGUUUUCAUUCUGGACUGCUAACAAAUAUUUUUCUUUUCCCUUUUUCCAGACCACCACUGAUUAUACUGAACAGCUGUUCAUAUAUAUAUAUACUGAAUACUACUGAAUACUGUAUACUGAACACUGGAGUCCCAGUGCUUAUCCCUGUGGAACUUACCAGCAAUUACUCCUUCCUUGUGAAAGGUGAUCCUACAUCAUUUCUCAGUUUUAAACAGAUAUCAAUCCAUUAGAAACCCUUUGCUUCCUGUCUCAAGGCUGAUCUUUUUUAUUUUUCUCUCUCUUUUUUUUUUUUUUAAGUACCUGCAGAAGGACUUUAACAUGAGCUCUAUUUGUUUAUUUCUCAAAUGUAAAAUCACAAUUACCACCUGAGUCAGUUAUUGACAGGUUAAUCAUGUGCUUCCAGAACCUCAGAUAAACGUGAGGUGUAACUUCCAUCUCCAUAACCCGUGCUCACUUUUCCCUAAUAUGUGAUAUAAAAUAGGUAUCUUCACAUGCCUAUGUGAUAUAAAAUAGACAUCUUUGUAUGUCUCUAUUUUAAUAGCACUUGUACUGAUUUAUCCACUGAAGAAGUGAGACUUACUGAUCUGUAUUUCUAUGGAUUACUCUCGGAGCCUUUUAGGAAAUGUUAGCAGCAUAUUUACUACUUUCCAUUCUUCUAGUAUUAGGACUUACUUUGAGACAGCUUACAUAUAACAGUAGCAAUAUCCUGUCUUGAGAUCCAUCAGAGUUUUAGGUGAAUACAUACUGAUGUGCAUGGUAUCAUGUUAUUCAUCGAUAUUUUCCCUACCUGUUUUACAGUUUAAUUUCAGAAGUUUCCUUGUUAGUAAAUGCUUCAGUGUAGGUUUUCCUUGGGCACUUUGAUAACAAAUACUACUUCAAAGAACUCAUUUGAUUUUCCUGGUGGGAGUCUGUCUUUGUUGAAAUCCUUCUUUGCUUCAGUUUUCUAUAGGUUGCCUUAUCCAUCUGCAGCUUGCUGAUGAGGUUUAUGUUGCAGGCUCUUAGUUUCAAUACGUUGCUUCUCACUGACUCUCUGAGCCCAUGUGAUUGUGGCUAGGUACAAAUGAGCUGUUGGAAUGCAAUGCUCCUUUCCUGUGUCCCUUGACACUGUGCACAUAUUUUGAAGGAGAUUUGGUUAUGUCUAAGAUGUCUCUUCACUUUGCCACCUAUCUGGACUUGCUUUUGGAGGGGGAGAUUCUUUUAAAAGUCCGCUAUGAUGAAUUCAGGAUUUUUUGUAUCACUUGUGAACAUUUUGCUACUUUUAAUUUACUAGUUUAUUUUUUUUUUUAAGAGUUAGUAUUUACUGUGGCAGAUUACUUUUUUGCUUUUACACCUUACAAGGAUAUUGACUUUGAUCAUAUUAAGGACUCUCUUACUAAGUGGCUUUUUGGUUGAAACAUUCAGGUUCUGCACAGUUCCCAGAACAAAACUCAAGGGUCACUUCCCCUUUUGUGCUCUCUGAUUAGGUAUUUCAAGAGGCAGUCAUUUGUAGUACUGAAAAUGUAGUUGAUACCUAAUGAUACCUAAGCCUGACUUUUCCCAGAGUCAAUUUGGUUCUGUUCUCCUCGACUCCUUGCACCCCAUGCUGCCACAUUGGUUGUGUGGCUGAUGGUACUAUUAUCAUAGAAUCAUAGAAUCACAGAAUUGAGUCGGAAGGGACACUUAAAGGCCAUUUAGUCCAACCCCCCUGCAAUGAACAGGGACACCUAGAGCUACAUCAGGUUGUUCAGAGCCCUGUCCAGUCCAACUUUGAGUGUUUCCAGGGAUGAGGCAUAUACCACCUCUCUGGGCAACCUGCUUUAUAUGUAGGCAUAACAUUUCAAAUGAUUAAUGAUUCUGUGUUACCUGUUGAUGGUAUUCAUUUAUUUAUAUCCUGUGAUUCAAAUUUUUCUUAAAUGUAUACGGCCUUCCUUUGCCUCAUAAGGUUUUCUCUGAUACUUCUACAGACAGUGAACUCGGUACUGCUCUUUUCAGCAUAAUUUAGCAUUUGAUUCUAGUAGAAGAAAACAUGCAUUGUCUUGAAGAACAGAAAAAGUAUAACCUAGGGAUUUCUCUAAUGCCAAGAGAAAAUAAAUCUUUCAUAGCACAGUAGAGUAAAAAGUCAGUCCCCAAAGUAUAUAACUGACAAGUAAUUCUCUAGAUUUGGUGCUUUCUUUCUUAGUAGUUUUGUUUAAAUUGUUUCAAGAGUACAGCAAUUGACUUUGAGCUAGUGUUUGGCAAAGGUCUGCUCGAGGGAGGAGUUCUGGAGAGGAAGACACAAUGAUGGUGUCUCCAGUAAAUAUGGCUAAGAGCUGCAUGGAUAUGAAGUCAAAGAGUACAACAGAUCGUGAGAGGGGAAAAAUGACUUCUCAAUGAGACUUUUCUCAGAUAAAGCUCCUUAUUCAGUGUUAGGUAAGAAUUUUCUAGCACCUAUCUUUUUGAAUUGCUAUCAAAUGACACAGGCAAGGACGGAUCCAACCAAUAGGCCCAGAGGACACGGUAUUUUCUGAGGUGACAGAUGUACAAAACUUGAAUGCUAAAUCACAACAGUUCAGAAAUGGGAUGUUCAACAUGAGAUUUCCAUUUAAGGGGUUAUUUGCAAUUCCAGAUCCCUUGAAUUGCAGUCAGGAACUGUACUCAGCAAGCACUGAAGCACUCCAGUAGCACACUCAACAGCAAAAAAAAAAAAGGUGCCUGCUUAAAAGACUCCAGCUGAAUAGCCACUGACUCUGAGGUGGAAAGGAAGCAAAGUUCGUGUGAUCAAAACUUGAUUGUCUACCCUGUGCAGUCCAUACAGAGUGCUGACAGAGUCUAUCCAGCUAUCAGCCAAAAGUUGAGAGCUGCUCUGAAAGUAAUGCCUCCUGUUCUAUUACACUGGCCCACAACAUCAGAGGUGGAUGUUGGUGGUAUGGCAGUAAGGAUCGAACCUUCCCACCAAUAUUCCAUUACAUUUUGUUGCUGUGUGACAGAUGGCAGCAGAGGGGCAGACUGACUAAAUGGUGUCUGAUGUGGAACUGCUUAUGAAGAACAGGUGCGUCACUGAAUUCCUCCAUGCAGAAAAAAUGGCACCCACUGAUAUUCACUGACACUUACUGAACAUUUAUGGAGACCAAACAGUGGAUGUGAGCACAGUGAGGCAGUGGGUGGUGUCUUUCAGCAGCGGAGACAGCGGGUCACCUCUACUGGUGCAAAUUUCUACACGCACAGCAUGCAGGCUCCUGUUCACUGUUGGCAAAAACACAUAGCUAAUGGUGGUGACUAUGCUGAAAAACAGCGUUUCAUAGCUUAGAAUUUGCUCUAUCAAACAGUGUUACUGCGCUCUUUGUACCUGUUGUAGUUUCCACGGAAAUAAAUAGGAGGCAUUACUUUGAGAGUUAUGUACAUAGAAAAAGUGUGGCAGCAUAGUCUCCUACUAAAAUCACUAGUUGCCAAACAUAGCAGACAAGAAGUAUUUCUUGUUCUCUGCAUUAGAGUAAGCCUUGACAAAUCUGCAGUCAAGCCAGUGGCAGCAACUGUCCAUGAAAACAUGUAUUUCAAACAGCAACGUGAUGUAGAUUAAAAAUGCACAAACAGCUCCAUAUCACAAAUCAUUCCUGCAUUCCUGUCUUGGCAGUUUUUGCCACUGCCUUUAGCAGUCCAGAAUAACCAGACCAUUUUUUGUCCUUUCACCACUGAGGCUCAAAAGGACAGAACGUGAUUUCCCUCUUGCAUAGUGACAGUUAUCCAUAAGUUUGAAGUCUGAAGGGUCUACCUAAGGCAUACAAUAAGCAGAGCUACCCAAAGGUCAUAUAUACACCUUCAUCUUUAUUGUGGAAUGGAAGAGUCUGCAGAGAUCAGAGCUGGCAGCUAUCAAACCAGCAGUUUUUGAUGUGACACCAGCGAUGCUGCUGCAAAAUAGCUGCAGAAACCUGUCCUGCUGCUGCUCUAUAGCCAAGCAUCAUCCUCAUGCUUCAAUUCUGCAGUAAAGCCCUGCUCCUACUAAAUCUGAUGCCAAAACUUGUGUAAGAUGCUUAGCUCCCCAGCAUACCCAAGGGCUAAGCAUGUCAGAGAACUGACAACUUAUUCUGUUCCACCACGGGAAACCCCCUGCCUCAGGUUUCCCAGUGGUCAGCAGCUGUAGCAACUGCUACAGUUGGAGGAUGUGCCUGGGACAUAGCAUGGCUCCUUGAAGCAUUAACUGACCCACUGGCACUUGUAGCAAGGAACAGCAGGUUCUUGCCCACUCACCAUGCACAGCUGAUUCCAGUACACCACUGAUCAGGUGAAAGAGCUGCUUCAAGCCUACUGAGACACAGGUACUAACCCGCAAAUGCAGCUAUAGGAGAUGCAGAAGCCCAUCAUGCACCUCUCAGCUUCAGUAACAGCCAAAAGAUCUGCAGAGCCUUUCCCAGUCCUUUCAGACAUGUCUAUCAACCAUAAAAAGAGCACCCAAUAAACCCCCCAAAUCAGACAAUUUAUCAUGAGAACAACAUCCAGCCUAUACUCACCCCAAAAAUUAACAUCUUAAAUGAGCUCUGGUGAGACUGGCUAAGUAUCAUGCUUUUCUGAAGGGUUAUACAACUUCAAGGCUACUUUUUAGGUGGAACUCUUCUCCAGAAGAAAAGCUCUUGGGUGACUGAAUAUUUCAGACUCCAACCCCAGACUUUCUGUGAUGUGAAGGCUUCUCAGGAAGAAAACUGAAUCAAAGCCAGGACUAUGUGCCUCUUGCUGAAUCUUAAUAAGCAGAUUUGGAAUUCAAGAACAUGAAAAGGGUAGUCCCUGAAGCCCAAAUGAAAGAAGCUUUGGAUUUAGAGGAGAUUUUGAUCAGAUUUUCAUAAAGUGAUUUAAAAUUACUUGCAUAACGCAAAGAAUAUGCCAGGGUAUAAAUGCAACACGAUUGCCAGUGACAGCAAACUAGCAAACUGAGUCACUGAACACUGAAAUGCCUCAGGGAAUUUAAGGCCAAGUGGAAGCAAACAACACACUCGCUUUAAAUUGUCACACAAGUGAGCUACAGAACACCUUGUGGCAUAACUGUGUAAGAGCAAUUUGACUUUUCUCCUCCUGCAAGCUGACAGCUCACGGCAUUGCACAGACAGUUUUUAGGGUACAACACAGAAAAGCUGCUUAAGAGUUACUGACAAAAAGGUUUUAAAAGUUUUUAAACUUGUCUACUGUCAUGCAAGAGCUCAAAUUCCAUGAUGAAACAACCCUUGAGCUUACUGGAGCAUUUCAUUUACAAGGAAUCAAAGCAACUUCUCUAAUCAGUGCAGCAAAGAAGGAAUCUGUGAAUAAUAUACCUGAGAAUGUGUACUAGCCAUUGAAAACAAACUGCUACGGAGCCAGGCAGUAAUUCUUAUGGGUGGUUUGAUGUAUGAAGAUGAUGCUCUGCACUACAAAGUUCAUAAUGUUCUGUUGCUUCACCUACUCCAUGUUCACAAACAGUCUGCACCAUUUUUUCCCCCUCAGAUAACUGUAUUAUUGUGACAGAAUAUUACUGCUAUUUUUAAAGCAAUCUAUUAUGUAACCAUGCAAAGUAGAUCAUAGCAUUUCUAACACACCUAAAUUUGGGUGGACAGACAUGUGGACAACAAAGCACCACACUGGAUUACUAGAACAACUCAGCCAACUGCCUAAGGGAUAUCAAGAGUAUCAUGAAUUUACAUAAACUGGAAAUCCAGCUUCUUAUAAUAUGUGUUAUUUUAAAGCGUACCUGCAUGGGAGUAAGGUACAGAAGAACUUAGAGGUGUUACAUUUUCCAGUUUUACAGUUCAGUAUUAAUAUAGCAUUAUUUCAAAACUUAAGACAUUAACUGCUUGUUUAAACAUCAUAACCCAAUGGAGAAACAACAUACCUCCCCAGUGACUAAAAAACUGUAUUUGGAGUUUUGAAAAGUAACUUUUCAUAGGGAUGCUUGGAUCUAUUUAAUUUCAUCAGAGAACAUUAUGAAGAGAUUACAUUCUGUGAUAAUGCUUUCUGAAAGAUGACCUGCGUUGGAUGUUGAAAUUAAAAAUAAAGGUAUUUUUGUUAACAUCCAAAGAGACUUAUUUAACUUACCUCUUUUGAGUUCCUAAGGACAAAAAGAAAGACCUCAUUUUUGAAAGGCCAUAUUUUUUUCUGUACUUCUGUGAAGUCAAACAAUAGAACUACACUUAUUUUAUGAGUGUUAAGAUCUACUGCUAACACUUAAAGUCUCUGUAUGGGUUCAAUAUGACAAAAAACUAGCUGCAUAAACUAAUGCAUUGCGAAGAUUGAGAAAAUAACCAUUUUCUAACAAACUAUGAAUGUGUUGCCAC